AGAGUUUGAUCCUGGCUCAGGACGAACGCUGGCGGCACGCUUAACACAUGCAAGUCGAACGAGAGAAGAGGAGCUUGCUUUUCUGAUCUAGUGGCGGACGGGUGAGUAACACGUGAGCAAUCUGCCUUUCAGAGGGGGAUACCGAUUGGAAACGAUCGUUAAUACCGCAUAACAUAAUUGAACCGCAUGAUUUGAUUAUCAAAGAUUUAUCGCUGAAAGAUGAGCUCGCGUCUGAUUAGCUAGUUGGUAAGGUAACGGCUUACCAAGGCGACGAUCAGUAGCCGGACUGAGAGGUUGAUCGGCCACAUUGGGACUGAGACACGGCCCAGACUCCUACGGGAGGCAGCAGUGGGGAAUAUUGCACAAUGGAGGAAACUCUGAUGCAGCGAUGCCGCGUGAGGGAAGAAGGUUUUAGGAUUGUAAACCUCUGUCUUCAGGGACGAAAAAAGACGGUACCUGAGGAGGAAGCUCCGGCUAACUACGAGCCAGCAGCCGCGGUAAUACGUAGGGAGCGAGCGUUGUCCGGAAUUACUGGGUGUAAAGGGAGCGUAGGCGGGAUCGCAAGUCAGAUGUGAAAACUAUGGGCUUAACCCAUAAACUGCAUUUGAAACUGUGGUUCUUGAGUGAAGUAGAGGUAAGCGGAAUUCCUAGUGUAGCGGUGAAAUGCGUAGAUAUUAGGAGGAACAUCAGUGGCGAAGGCGGCUUACUGGGCUUUAACUGACGCUGAGGCUCGAAAGCGUGGGGAGCAAACAGGAUUAGAUACCCUGGUAGUCCACGCCGUAAACGAUGAUUACUAGGUGUGGGGGGACUGACCCCUUCCGUGCCGCAGCAAACGCAAUAAGUAAUCCACCUGGGGAGUACGACCGCAAGGUUGAAACUCGAAGGAAUUGACGGGGGCCCGCACAAGCAGUGGAGUAUGUGGAUUAAUUCGAAGCAACGCGAAGAACCUUACCAGGUCUUGACAUCGUAUGCAUAGCUCAGAGAUGAGUGAAAUCUCUUCGGAGACAUAUAGACAGGUGGUGCAUGGUUGUCGUCAGCUCGUGUCGUGAGAUGUUGGGUUAAGUCCCGCAACGAGCGCAACCCUUACUGUUAGUUGCUACGCAAGAGCACUCUAGCAGGACUGCCGUUGACAAAACGGAGGAAGGUGGGGAUGACGUCAAAUCAUCAUGCCCCUUAUGACCUGGGCCUCACACGUACUACAAUGGCUGUCAACAGAGGGAAGCAAAGCCGCGAGGUGGAGCGAACCCCUAAAAGCAGUCUUAGUUCGGAUUGUAGGCUGCAACCCGCCUACAUGAAGUCGGAAUUGCUAGUAAUCGCAGAUCAGCAUGCUGCGGUGAAUACGUUC
rnacentral:rRNA from 1 species